rnacentral:misc_RNA from 1 species
GAUGAAGAACGCAGCGAAAUGCGAUAAGUAGUGUGAAUUGCAGAAUUCAGUGAAUCAUCGAAUCUUUGAACGCACAUUGCGCCCCUUGGUAUUCCAUGGGGCAUGCCUGUUCGAGCGUCAUUUGUACCUUCAAGCUCUGCUUGGUGUUGGGUGAUUGUCUAUCUUUAUAGACUCGCCUUAAAGUCAUUGGCAGCCGGCAUAUUGGCCUGGGAGCGCAGCACAAGUCGCGCUUCUUGUCAUGAAUGUUGGCGUCCAGUAAGUCUACAUAUUUUGCUCUUGACCUCGGAUGAGGUAGGGAUACCCGCUGAACUUAAGCAUAUCAAUAAGAGGAGGA